UUAACACAUGCAAGUCGAGGGGCAUCAGGAAGGAAGCUUGCUUUCUUUGCUGGCGACCGGCGCACGGGUGAGUAACACGUAUCCAACCUGCCCUUUACUCGGGGAUAGCCUUUCGAAAGAAAGAUUAAUACCCGAUGGCAUAAUGAUUCCGCAUGGUUUCAUUAUUAAAGGAUUCCGGUAAAGGAUGGGGAUGCGUUCCAUUAGGUUGUUGGUGAGGUAACGGCUCACCAAGCCUUCGAUGGAUAGGGGUUCUGAGAGGAAGGUCCCCCACAUUGGAACUGAGACACGGUCCAAACUCCUACGGGAGGCAGCAGUGAGGAAUAUUGGUCAAUGGGCGCUAGCCUGAACCAGCCAAGUAGCGUGAAGGAUGAAGGCUCUAUGGGUCGUAAACUUCUUUUAUAUAAGAAUAAAGUGCAGUAUGUAUACUGUUUUGUAUGUAUUAUAUGAAUAAGGAUCGGCUAACUCCGUGCCAGCAGCCGCGGUAAUACGGAGGAUCCGAGCGUUAUCCGGAUUUAUUGGGUUUAAAGGGAGCGUAGGUGGACUGGUAAGUCAGUUGUGAAAGUUUGCGGCUCAACCGUAAAAUUGCGGUUGAUACUGUCAGUCUUGAGUACAGUAGAGGUGGGCGGAAUUCGUGGUGUAGCGGUGAAAUGCUUAGAUAUCACGAAGAACUCCGAUUGCGAAGGCAGCUCACUGGACUGCAACUGACACUGAUGCUCGAAAGUGUGGGUAUCAAACAGGAUUAGAUACCCUGGUAGUCCACACAGUAAACGAUGAAUACUCGCUGUUUGCGAUAUACAGUAAGCGGCCAAGCGAAAGCAUUAAGUAUUCCACCUGGGGAGUACGCCGGCAACGGUGAAACUCAAAGGAAUUGACGGGGGCCCGCACAAGCGGAGGAACAUGUGGUUUAAUUCGAUGAUACGCGAGGAACCUUACCCGGGCUUAAAUUGCAGUGGAAUGAUGUGGAAACAUGUCAGUGAGCAAUCACCGCUGUGAAGGUGCUGCAUGGUUGUCGUCAGCUCGUGCCGUGAGGUGUCGGCUUAAGUGCCAUAACGAGCGCAACCCUUAUCUUUAGUUACUAACAGGUCAUGCUGAGGACUCUAGAGAGACUGCCGUCGUAAGAUGUGAGGAAGGUGGGGAUGACGUCAAAUCAGCACGGCCCUUACGUCCGGGGCUACACACGUGUUACAAUGGGGGGUACAGAAGGCAGCUAGCGGGUGACCGUAUGCUAAUCCCAAAAUCCUCUCUCAGUUCGGAUCGAAGUCUGCAACCCGACUUCGUGAAGCUGGAUUCGCUAGUAAUCGCGCAUCAGCCACGGCGCGGUGAAUACGUUCCCGGGCCUUGUACACACCGCCCGUCAAGCCAUGGGAGCCGGGGGUACCUGAAGUACGUAACCGCAAGGAUCGUCCUAGGGUAAAACUGGUGACUGGGGCUAAGUAA
rnacentral:rRNA from 1 species